GUCAGGAUGGCCGAGCGGUCUAAGGCGGCAGACUCAAGUUCUGCUCCUCUAGCGAGGGCGUGGGUUCAAAUCCCACUCCUGACA
rfam:Selaginella moellendorffii unplaced genomic scaffold SELMOscaffold_63, whole genome shotgun sequence.